rnacentral:rRNA from 1 species
UACAGAGAGUGCAAGCGUUAAUCGGAAUUACUGGGCGUAAAGCGCGCGUAGGCGGAAAACUAAGUCGGGUGUGAAAGCCCCAAGCUUAACUUGGGAACUGCAUUCGAUACUGGUUAUCUUGAGUAUGGUAGAGGGAAGUGGAAUUUCCGGUGUAGCGGUGAAAUGCGUAGAUAUCGGAAGGAACAUCAGUGGCGAAGGCGACUUCCUGGACCAAUACUGACGCUGAGGUGCGAAAGCGUGGGGAGCAAACAGG